GUAAAUACAAUUUAUGAAAGCAAAAAAUUAUGGCGGUACUUUAAGCUUUUCAGAGGAAUUUGCUCUGUGAUGGAUAAAACACCUAAAUCUUACUAAAAUUUGUUAAAUCAGUUUGUAUACCACUAUUAAAGUAGUAUUUCAUAACUAUUACUUAAAUUUUUAAAAAAAAUAAAUUAAGUCAAGGUGCAGCAAAAGUUUUAGGAUGAAGUGAAUUACAAUUCUUUUUAGUUUUUAAAAUUUUUUUAAAAAAAUUUUAAAAAAGGAUUUGAAAGUAAAAAAUCAAUAGUAUGGCUUUUUGAAUAAAGU
rnacentral:rRNA from 1 species